rnacentral:tRNA from 1 species
CGGACGUAGCCAAGUGGUUCCAAGGCAGU